rnacentral:pre_miRNA from 1 species
UUACUACUCCCUCCGUCCCAAAAUUCUUGUCUUAAAUUUGUCUAGAUACGGAUGUAUCAAGUCACAUUUUAGUAUUAGAUACAUCCGUAUCUAGACAAAUCUAAGACAAGAAAUUUGGGACAGAGGGAGUAAUUA